GAUGAACGCUGGCGGCGUGCCUAAUACAUGCAAGUCGAGCGAACAGACGAGGAGCUUGCUCCUCUGACGUUAGCGGCGGACGGGUGAGUAACACGUGGAUAACCUACCUAUAAGACUGGGAUAACUUCGGGAAACCGGAGCUAAUACCGGAUAAUAUAUUGAACCGCACGGUUCAAUAGUGAAAGACGGUUUUACUGUCACUUAUAGAUGGAUCCGCGCCGCAUUAGCUAGUUGGUAAGGUAACGGCUUACCAAGGCAACGAUGCGUAGCCGACCUGAGAGGGUGAUCGGCCACACUGGAACUGAGACACGGUCCAGACUCCUACGGGAGGCAGCAGUAGGGAAUCUUCCGCAAUGGGCGAAAGCCUGACGGAGCAACGCCGCGUGAGUGAUGAAGGUCUUCGGAUCGUAAAACUCUGUUAUUAGGGAAGAACAAAUGUGUAAGUAACUAUGCACGUCUUGACGGUACCUAAUCAGAAAGCCACGGCUAACUACGUG
rnacentral:rRNA from 1 species